GAUGAAGAACGUAGCGAAAUGCGAUAAGUAAUGUGAAUUGCAGAAUUCAGUGAAUCAUCGAAUCUUUGAACGCACCUUGCGCCCUUUGGCUAUUCUGAAGGGCAUGCCUGUUUGAGUAUCAUGAACACCUCAACUCUCACGGUUCGCCGUGAUGAGCUUGGACUUUGGGGGUAUUGCCGUCCCACCGCCGGCUCCUCUCAAAUGAAUCAGCUUGCCAGUGUCUGGUGGCAUCACAGGUGUGAUAACUAUCUACGCUUGUGGUUUUCCGCCAGGUAACCUCCAGCGAUGGAGGUUCGCUGGAGCUCACAAAUGUCUCUCCUCAGCGAAGACAGCUCUUGAACGUUUGAUCUCAAAUCAGGUAGGACUACCCGCUGAACUUAAGCAUAUCAAUAAGCGGAGGA
rnacentral:misc_RNA from 1 species